rnacentral:rRNA from 1 species
CCUACGGGUGGCAGCAGUGGGGAAUAGUGCGCAAUGGGCGAAAGCCUGACGCAGCGACGCCGCGGGAGGGAUGAAGGUCUUCGGAGCGUAAACCUCUGGCAGCAGGGAAGAACGGUCACGGUGCUAAGCAGCAGUGAAUGGACGGUACCUGCAAAGGAAGCACGGGCUAACUCCGUGCCAGCAGCCGCGGUAAUACGGAGGGUGCGAGCGUUCAUCGGAAUUACUGGGCGUAAAGCGCUCGUAGGCGGUAUGUCAAGUCAAGGGUGAACUCCCCGCGCUCAACGUGGGAACUGCCUUUGAAACUGGCAAACUGGAGUGUGUGAGAGGAUAGUGGAAUUCCAGGUGUAGGCGU